rnacentral:antisense_RNA from 1 species
GGGUGCUUAAGACUUUCUGUCUUGAGCAUUGUUGAGGGACAGAAAGUAGGAAGCCCCCGGGAAAUUUUCAUUUACCCGAGGCUACUCCCUCAACUACCAACAGGUUGAGAGUAGCCUCUUAUUCUUUUUUACACAAGGAAGUAAAAGGCAUG